AGUGUUCGACCAACACCACAAAAUGAUGCUAUAACGGUGCAUUUUAAACCUGUUACAUUAAAAGCUUCUGAAAGUAAAUAUACCAAGGUUGCAAGCAUUAGUUUUGAUGCUUCAAGAGCAAAAAAGCCAUCUCAGUUUUCUGGGAAAAUAACUGUUAAAGCAAAGGAAAAGAGUUAUUCUAAACUCGAAAUCCCCUACCAAGCAGAAGUUUUAGAUGGUUAUUUGGGGUUUGAUCAUGCCGCCACGCUGUUUCACAUCCAGGACAGUCCUGCCGACCCAGUGGAGAGGCCAAUUUACCUGACUAACACUUUCAGUUUUGCGAUCCUCAUUCAUGAUGUGUUGUUACCAGAAGAAG
rnacentral:lncRNA from 1 species